rnacentral:rRNA from 1 species
UCCUGGCUCAGGAUGAACGCUAGCUACAGGCUUAACACAUGCAAGUCGAGGGGAAACGACAUCGAAAGCUUGCUUUUGAUGGGCGUCGACCGGCGCACGGGUGAGUAACGCGUAUCCAACCUGCCCACCACUUGGGGAUAACCUUGCGAAAGUAAGACUAAUACCCAAUGAUAUCCCACGAAGGCAUCGGAAUGGGAUUAAAGAUUUAUCGGUGAUGGAUGGGGAUGCGUCUGAUUAGCUUGUUGGCGGGGUAACGGCCCACCAAGGCAACGAUCAGUAGGGGUUCUGAGAGGAAGGUCCCCCACAUUGGAACUGAGACACGGUCCAAACUCCUACGGGAGGCAGCAGUGAGGAAUAUUGGUCAAUGGGCGAGAGCCUGAACCAGCCAAGUAGCGUGCAGGAUGACGGCCCUAUGGGUUGUAAACCUCUUUUGUCGGGGAGUAACGUGCGGGACGGGUCCCGUAUUGAGAGUACCCGAAGAAAAAGCAUCGGCUAACUCCGUG